rnacentral:rRNA from 1 species
GCGCUGCAUUAGCUAGUUGGUAAGGUAACGGCUUACCAAGGCAACGAUGCAUAGCCGACCUGAGAGGGUGAUCGGCCACACUGGAACUGAGACACGGUCCAGACUCCUACGGGAGGCAGCAGUAGGGAAUCUUCCGCAAUGGGCGAAAGCCUGACGGAGCAACGCCGCGUGAGUGAUGAAGGUCUUCGGAUCGUAAAACUCUGUUAUUAGGGAAGAACAUAUGUGUAAGUAACUGUGCACAUCUUGACGGUACCUAAUCAGAAAGCCACGGCUAACUACGUGCCAGCAGCCGCGGUAAUACGUAGGUGGCAAGCGUUAUCCGGAAUUAUUGGGCGUAAAGCGCGCGUAGGCGGUUUUUUAAGUCUGA